AUAUCAAUAAGCGGAGGGAAAGAAACCAACAGGGAUUGCCUUAGUAACGGCGAGUGAAGCGGCAACAGCUCAAAUUUGAAAUCUGUCUCUUUUAGAGUCCGAGUUGUAAUUUGUAGAGGAUGUUUCGGGCGUGGUCCGGUCUAAGUUCCUUGGAACAGGACGUCAUAGAGGGUGAGAAUCCCGUAUGCGACUGGGUGCCUAAGCUCAUGUGAAACUCCUUCGACGAGUCGAGUUGUUUGGGAAUGCAGCUCAAAAUGGGUGGUAAAUUUCAUCUAAAGCUAAAUAUUGGCCAGAGACCGAUAGCGCACAAGUAGAGUGAUCGAAAGAUGAAAAGCACUUUGGAAAGAGAGUUAAACAGUACGUGAAAUUGUUGAAAGGGAAGCGCUUGCAACCAGACUUGCAUUCAGUUGAUCAUCCGGCGUUUUCACCGGUGCACUCGAUUGUUUUCAGGCCAGCAUCGGUUUUGGUGGUUGGAUAAAGGCCUUGGGAAUGUAGCUUCUUUCGGGGAGUGUUAUAGCCCUCGGUGCAAUGCAGCCUACCGGGACCGAGGACCGCGCUUCGGCUAGGAUGCUGGCGUAAUGGUUGUAAGCGA
rnacentral:rRNA from 1 species